UGGGGAAUUUUGGACAAUGGGCGAAAGCCUGAUCCAGCAAUGCCGCGUGUGUGAAGAAGGCCUUCGGGUUGUAAAGCACUUUUGUCCGGAAAGAAAUCCUUGGCUCUAAUACAGUCGGGGGAUGACGGUACCGGAAGAAUAAGCACCGGCUAACUACGUGCCAGCAGCCGCGGUAAUACGUAGGGUGCAAGCGUUAAUCGGAAUUACUGGGCGUAAAGCGUGCGCAGGCGGUUUGCUAAGACCGAUGUGAAAUCCCCGGGCUCAACCUGGGAACUGCAUUGGUGACUGGCAGGCUAGAGUAUGGCAGGAGGGGGGUAGAAUUCCACGUGUAGCAGUGAAAUGCGUAGAGAUGUGGAGGAAUACCGAUGGCGAAGGCAGCCCCCUGGGCCAAUACUGACGCUCAUGCACGAAAGCGUGGGGAGCAAACAGGAUUAGAUACCCUGGUAGUCCAGCGCCCUAAACGAUGUCAACUAGUUGUUGGGGAUUCAUUUCCUUAGUAACGUAGCUAACGCGUGAAGUUGACCGCCUGGGGAGUAC
rnacentral:rRNA from 1 species